CUGCUGCUUCUCCUUCCCCUAUAAAUCCAAUCAUCAAUCAAUUCCCCAGCCUGCAUCUCAGUCAAUAACCAGUUUACACUGAAGAAAGAGCGAUGUCCAAGCUUACAACCCUCUUUGCGUUAGCCCUUAUCCUCUGCUUCACUGUAUCCUCUGCCGCUCGUCCUGACCCUUCCCUGGUGAAGACCCAACAUGAAUCAAGCUUGGGAGCAGAGAAAGGUGUGGUUGAGGGUGACGCAGCAGCGUGUGAUGGAGCAGGGAAGGAAGAGUGCUUGGUGAGGAAGACGCCGGGGUUUCAUCUGGACUAUAUCUACAGCGUCAAAAAUUAAAGCCUUGAAGCUAUGCUUAUGAGUUCUGAUAAAUAUUAAUAAUAAUGGGUCGUCGUGGUUUCAUAAUUUGUUUUAUUUGGACUUCAGGCCAGUAGUGAUUUGUAGUAUUUUCUAUUAAUUAAUCUCCUACAGUGUUAGCAAUGGGUUUGUGUACUUGUGUUUUUGUUUUGGAAACAAUUGUAUGAUAUAUGCAGUCUCCAUGAAGGUUAUAUUCUUCUU